rnacentral:rRNA from 1 species
GCAAGUCGAGCGGUAGAGAGAAGCUUGCUUCUCUUGAGAGCGGCGGACGGGUGAGUAAUGCCUAGGAAUCUGCCUGGUAGUGGGGGAUAACGCUCGGAAACGGACGCUAAUACCGCAUACGUCCUACGGGAGAAAGCAGGGGACCUUCGGGCCUUGCGCUAUCAGAUGAGCCUAGGUCGGAUUAGCUAGUUGGUGAGGUAAUGGCUCACCAAGGCGACGAUCCGUAACUGGUCUGAGAGGAUGAUCAGUCACACUGGAACUGAGACACGGUCCAGACUCCUACGGGAGGCAGCAGUGGGGAAUAUUGGACAAUGGGCGAAAGCCUGAUCCAGCCAUGCCGCGUGUGUGAAGAAGGUCUUCGGAUUGUAAAGCACUUUAAGUUGGGAGGAAGGGCAGUAAAUUAAUACUUUGCUGUUUUGACGUUACCGACAGAAUAAGCACCGGCUAACUCUGUGCCAGCAGCCGCGGUAAUACAGAGGGUGCAAGCGUUAAUCGGAAUUACUGGGCGUAAAGCGCGCGUAGGUGGUUAGUUAAGUUGGAUGUGAAAUCCCCGGGCUCAACCUGGGAACUGCAUUCAAAACUGACUGACUAGAGUAUGGUAGAGGGUGGUGGAAUUUCCUGUGUAGCGGUGAAAUGCGUAGAUAUAGGAAGGAACACCAGUGGCGAAGGCGACCACCUGGACUGAUACUGACACUGAGGGUGCGAAGCGUGGGGAGCAAACAGGAUUAGAUACCCUGGUAGUCCACGCCGUAAACGAUGUC